CUACUGUCCAAAAUAGUUUUAUUGCUAAUUCACUCUUUCAAACUUUCUUUGUAUUAACCUCAUUUUAGCAUACAUAUCACAAAUCAUUUUCACCACAUUUCAUACAUCACAAGUAUAGGCCCAUGAUCACAAGGUCACCAUAAAAUCAUCCUCAUGUAUAACUUACUUGUUUAUAACCUUACCACAUCCUGGUCACUUAAUGAACACAUCAUUCACAAAACCAAG
rnacentral:lncRNA from 1 species